rnacentral:lncRNA from 1 species
AGAAUUCCUAGAAUAUCUCUUUAAACAGAAUUCCUAACCAGUAACCACCCGAACUAGAGUAUCACCCCUUCACAUUUAGGCAUUGCCUAUAUUUUUAUUGACAGAGACAUGUUAAAAAUAAAAUAACCAAUUACAAAAUUCUUAAUGAAAAUCAGGUUUACUAUAAUUUGUAAGAUUAUCGUCAUUCAGUUUUAAGAUUUAUGUUGUUUCACUUAUUAUCUGAAGCUCAUUCAGCUUUUCACUUGUAACAUAAAGCUGCAACACGUUGUUCACACCAAGCCUUAUGAUUGUCAAAAGCAUUAUAUUAAGAUAAGGUCUCUGAAAUUUGUCCCAAAAAAGAAAAAAAAAAGAAGAUAAGGUGUCUGAAAUAAACGGACUCAACAGCUUUGUGUACUAAUUCUAAUCAUUAGAAACCACAGCGUCACUUGUCAAAGACCCUGUCAUUGCUUACCUCGGAUCACAAUACAACAACUGUUAAGAAACUGUUGAAUAAAUUUCCAUCGUUCUCAGGAUUCAACGUUUAGAAGGAAGGUUUUCUAUAUAUGGAACUAUGAAGGCAGAUCAUGCAUGGAACCAGGGUUUAACAUAUCCGCAAAAGCAUAGUUCACUUUUUUCUCCGACUUAUAUAUAGCACAUCUAAGAUUCAAUUUAGAAACCGAUAAUGAAACAAACAACAUCAUCUCGACACGUUGAGCUACUUAGGAUAAAACGGUGAGUCAACUUCUCAGCGUGCCCCAAAUGUGACAAUGCCAAAUUUCUUAUGGGCUCCUAGAGUUUCAUAUAUCCCUAUUUCAUAAUUCUUUUUUUUUAUCAAAAUCCAAACUCCCAAAUCAAAUCCU